AAGAACUGUGGUAGGUGAGGGUCAUCAAGUUGUUCUAACUAUGAUCGUAAGUGCUAGCACAGCUGUAUUUUUGCUACAGGAGCCAAAGCAGACUGGAGAUGACAGAAAGCUUUGCUGCCACAAAAGUAAUCAUCCUGUUGCUUGUCCUCCUCGGGCUGGCAGAGCCUGAAGGCAGCUGGUUUCACUAAGGUGCAAACACCAGCUGCUAUUUACAGGGGAAACAUGAGCUGCCCUGGAGAAGCCUUGGUACAAACCCACCUUCCCACAGUUUGGCUGAUGCUGCAAAAACAGGAAGGGAAUGACUACAAUGCUAAAGUCACAGGACCCAGUGGGAGCAGAACACUGGAUAAGAGCUGGGCCUUUGAUAGGGGCAGCAAUACUAUAUCUGAUGUUAAGAUAAACUAAAAGCCUUCACGUCACGUAGAAGACAAAACCAACAGUUACAAGCUGCAUGUACGAGACUCACAGCUGGAUGCUAUACAUAUCAGUGCCUGGCAAAAGCAGUCUGAAGGAGCCCUUUCACAUCUUGUACAGCAUCAACAAAAAAGAUUUUUCUUUGGCUCUAAGUGCUACAAUUAGGGGCUCCAGUUCCAAUGUCGGUACAUCACUGUGAACUUCAGGAAAUAAAAGUGUAAAAGUUGUAAUUGCUUUUAUAACAGAAGACAACUGAUAAGGAAGAAGGAAAAUGAGUGAUUUAGGGUUAGAAUUUUGGAAACUUCUCCUGCUUCAUCUUUUAUUCAUACAUAAUCACAACACAGGAAAAGAAAAGAGCUCCCGAUAUGAGACAGUAUUAUAAGGUAAAAGUACCAGAAGUAGGUUAAAUAUUUAUUAAAUGCAGACUUGAACCAGAUUACUCUUUGGUGACAAUACAAAUGCAAUCUGUGCUUACAUACUAACAAGUGCAGCUUUCUAAACUGAAUUGAAGAUUCAGAGAUUCGUAUUUCUUUUUACAAAUAUGUUUAAAUAUAGCUUUAAUGUUUUACCAUAGCUUGCUCCAGUGGAACAACUUGCUGGCUAUGAAUCAUCCGAAUGUUGUUUGCGUGUCCUUUUAAGGCAUUUUCCAGUGCUCCUUUUGGCUGCAAAAAAAAAAAGGAUGCCCUAUUGUUCAAUAGUUUCAAACAAAGGAAAAAAUACAAACUGCAGUGCAAGUUGCACAGUAUUUGUUGCAGAAGAGCUGAUGCUAACAGGAUACGGCAAAUUGAACUCAACACAGAGAGGGGGAAAAAAUCGCCGUAUUAAUGAUUCAAAGCCCAGUAAUGAAAGCACACAUAUUAAACUGCUUCUCUGUCUGUAUCAUCACUGGUUUCAUAGAAGAGAAUUUCCAGAGUGCACUGAGUUAAACAGGGCAGAGGGAGCACCCCUCUGCUACUCUGCUCUGCUCCAGCCUGUCCCUGGUGCAGGGGUG
rnacentral:lncRNA from 1 species